UAGUCAUAUGCUUGUCUCAAAGAUUAAGCCAUGCAUGUCUAAGUAUAAGCGACUUGUACUGUGGAACUGCGAAUGGCUCAUUAAAUCAGUUAUGGUUUAUUUGAUGGUACCUUACUACUUGGAUACCCGUAGUAAUUCUAGAGCUAAUACAUGCAGGACUUCCCGACUUCCGAAGGGAUGUAUUUAUUAGAUAAGAGACCAACUCGGGCUUGCCCGGUUGCGUGCUGAGUCACAAUAACUGCUCGAAUCGCAGUGGCCUUGCGCCGGCGAUGGUUCAUUCAAAUUUCUGCCCUAUCAGCUUUCGAUGGUAGGAUCGAGGCCUACCAUGGCGUUUACGGGUAACGGAGAAUUAGGGCUCGAUUCCGGAGAGGGAGCCUGAGAAACGGCUACCACAUCCAAGGAAGGCAGCAGGCGCGUAAAUUACCCAAUCGUAACUCACGGAGGUAGUGACGAAAAAUACUAAUACGGGGCUCUUCGAGCUUUGUAAUUGGAAUGAGAACAAUUUAAAUCCCUUAACGAGGAUCAAUU
rnacentral:rRNA from 1 species